CAGAUCUAGUUUCCGUCGCAAGCCCGA
rnacentral:piRNA from 1 species